UAAGCUUAGCUUUCCCCUAUAGAAAAAAAAAACUAACCAGACACACGCUCCCUCUUCUCCCCUCCCUAUUUCCUUCCUUGAAGCCUCCCGCCGCCGGUCAUGGCGCCGGCGAAAUCCACCCCCCACAGCCGUAGUCCGUAGAGCAGCAGCAGCAGCAGAAGCAUCGGGAAUCAGGAGAGCUCUCGACCCUGCCCGAACCCGAGCUCGAUUUGAUUACCAGCCCGAAGAUGCUAGAGGAUGCCGCCGGCCAUCCCCGCCUCGUCGACGUAUUUGAUCUGCGGACGCCGCGGGCUCUCGUAAAUCAGUCCUAGCAGAUAGAUCUGGCGAGAGUGGGAGCUAAAAGCGAGCUGGACACUUGUAAUGAGGAGAACUGAAAAGGGGAGAUACUCACCGAUCGAGGGGAUGCAUGCCUUCUGCUUGAUACUCACUGUUUUGGUACUCUGCUCCCACAAAUUCUUCAAGUCCUCACCGUCAGCGUGUGACUCGUCGCCGGUCUCUCUCUCUCUCUCUCCAAUUAUGUAAAUCGUACUAGAGAGAGCACGUUGCUGGGUGGAGAGACAAGUUUUGAUUUUUAAUGUCUGAGUUGAUAAGUAAUAGUGUUUUGAUUGCAGAGCAUGUCGUUAUCAGGAAAGAUCUGUGACUUUGGCCGUGGAGUGUGAAGGACGAACUGGUGAAGAAAGACCAGUUCUUUGCAAAUAUUUGUGGGCACUAAGCAUCGGUCAUCAAUGCUUGUUGAAUCUUUAUGGACUUUUUGUCACCAUCGCUGUCGUGAUAAUACAUUUUUUUUAGGAACAUGAUAAUACAUUUUCCUACUAAAGUGCAGUCAUAUUGGUGCCAACCAUGUCUAUUCGUCCCUGGUGCUGCGUUGAAAUGUACCGGCAAUAUACGAGGAUCAAUUAUAUAUCUGUCUGGCUUCCUCGUUUUAGUACAACACAUAUUCAUUUGCCUAGAUCGAUGUUUUGUUGGGUUAUCUGAGCAUACUUUAUGAGAGGCUGGUAACUGUCCCGUAUGUGUGGUUCUAGUCGUGAUCAUGAAAAGAAGCCUUUGUUCUUUAA